rnacentral:rRNA from 1 species
AUGACAUCCAAUAUGAGACCCCUUAACAGCAAAAAGGGUGAGGUCCCUUCCGAUGGUCGUGAGAACUGUGGAGUUUCUGACCAAGCUUUUCAUGGCAAAUGUCAAAGCUGCGACGGUGUUGGAAAACCAUCUUAUCCUAGAGCGAAUGGCGUUUCCCUGAAAGAAAGUGGAACAUGCAGUUUUAGUUGUGAUCAUGCUAAUGCUUUAUUAGUAGAUGGGCCCAAAGGUUCGCCAGCAAGGCCAGGACAUAUUGACAGCGCAGAUUGUGGUCAGCAUGGUUGUCUGCAUGCCAAGAAUGAAAGUUGCAUGCCUUGCAAUGAUCUGCAGCAAGAGUCUGAUAGAGAACAAGCUGGAGAUACCCUGGAUGAUCUGUUUUUCUUUAAUGAUGAAGAGGAUGAUGAUAUUGACUGGGAACCUUCUGCUCGCCUGGCUGAAAACAGAUGGUUUUGCUUGAACUGUACAAUGCCAAACUUGGAUGAGGUUAAACAUUGUCUGAAUUGCCAUGAGCUUAAGGGAUCUGAGGUAGCUGCUGGAUAUGAUGUUUUCAAAACUCACAUUGCGCGGGCAGCUUUGGUAUCUGCUAACACAGCAUCGGUACUGGUAUCUACAGCGAUUGGUUUUGAUGAAAGAAUGUUGCUCCACAGUGAGAUGGAAAUUAAACCAAAUCCACAUCCAGAAAGACCCAACCGUCUUCGUGCAAUUGCUGCCAGUCUGGCUGCUGCAGGAAUAUUUCCCUCAAAGUGCGCCUUGGUACCUCCUCGAGAAAUCACUAAGGAGGAACUCGUAAUGGUCCAUACUUCAGAUCACGUCGAAAGUGUAGAGCAGACAAAGAACAUGCUUUACAGUUACUUCACUUCGGAUACUUACGCGAAUGGACACUCGGCAUGUGCUGCCAAACUUGCAGCAGGCCUAUGCGCUGAUCUUGCUAGUUUGAUAGUGUCUGAGCAUGUCCAGAACGGCUUUGCACUGGUGAGACCUCCUGGGCAUCAUGCUGGGGUAAAGCAAGCCAUGGGAUUUUGUCUUCACAACAAUGCAGCAGUGGCUGCAUUAGCUGCACAAAAAGCAGGCGCUAAGAAAGUCUUGAUAGUUGACUGGGAUGUGCACCAUGGCAAUGGCACACAGGAGAUAUUUGAAGGGAACAAAUCAGUUUUGUACAUAUCAUUACAUCGCCAUGAGGAUGGAAGCUUCUACCCUGGAACUGGAGCAGCAGACGAGGUGGGAGUUCUGGAUGGUAAAGGAUUCUCGGUAAAUAUACCUUGGAGCUGUGGUGGCGUUGGAGACAAUGACUACAUCUUUGCUUUUCAGCAUGUGGUGCUUCCAAUAGCUACAGAAUUUGCCCCAGACAUCACCAUUAUAUCUGCAGGUUUUGAUGCAGCAAGGGGUGAUCCUUUGGGUUGUUGUGAUGUCACUCCUGCCGGAUACUCUCAGAUGACGUCCAUGUUAACUGCUUGCUCAGAAGGAAAAUUGUUGGUUAUACUUGAGGGAGGAUACAAUCUUCGGUCUAUAUCCUCAUCUGCAACUGAAGUUGUCAAGGUCCUACUCGGGGACGGUCCAAGUUAUGGCACAGAUGCAGCAGCACCAUCAAAGGAGGGCAUGCAGACUGUCUUACAAGUUCUGGACAUUCAGCAAAAAUAUUGGCCAGUUUUAGUUCCAAUCUUUGCAUCACUUCAGGCGCAGCAGGGGCCGACUUCUUCCAAAUAUGUUAACGCUGAAAACAAGCUGAAGAGAAGGAUGCUUACGGGAGGACCAGGGCCUGUGUGGUGGAAAUGGGGAAGCAAGAGGCUUUUGUACGAAGUACUGUUUGAGGGCCGUCGUCCUAGAAAGAGCAGGGCGAAAGGAGAAUGA